rnacentral:rRNA from 1 species
AGAGUUUGAUUCUGGCUUCAGGAUGAACGCUGGCGGCGUGCUUAACACAUGCAAGUCGAGCGAGAAAUGUUCUUCGGAGCUUUUCUAGCGGCGGGCGGGUGAGUAACACGUGGGCAACCUGCCUCAUAGAGGGGAAUAGCCUUCCGAAAGGAAGAUUAAUACCGCAUAACAUUGUUGAAAGGCAUCUUUUAACAAUCAAAGGAGCAAUCCGCUAUGAGAUGGGCCCGCGGCGCAUUAGCCAGUUGGUGAGGUAACGGCUCACCAAGGCGACGAUGCGUAGCCGACCUGAGAGGGUGAUCGGCCACAUUGGAACUGAGACACGGUCCAGACUCCUACGGGAGGCAGCAGUGGGGAAUAUUGCACAAUGGGGGAAACCCUGAUGCAGCGACGCCGCGUGAAGGAAGAAGUAUCUCGGUAUGUAAACUUCUAUCAGCAGGGAAGAUAAUGACGGUACCUGACUAAGAAGCCCCGGCUAACUACGUGCCAGCAGCCGCGGUAAUACGUAGGUGGCGAGCGUUGUCCGGAAUUAUUGGGCGUAAAGAGCAUGUAGGCGGUUUUUUAAGUCUGGAGUGAAAAUGCGGGGCUCAACCCCGUAUGGCUCUGGAUACUGGAAGACUUGAGUGCAGGAGAGGAAAGGGGAAUUCCCAGUGUAGCGGUGAAAUGCGUAGAUAUUGGGAGGAACACCAGUGGCGAAGGCGCCUUUCUGGACUGUGUCUGACGCUGAGAUGCGAAAGCCAGGGUAGCGAACGGGAUUAGAUACCCCGGUAGUCCUGGCCGUAAACGAUGGGUACUAGGUGUAGGAGGUAUCGACCCCUUCUGUGCCGGAGUUAACGCAAUAAGUACCCCGCCUGGGGAGUACGUCCGCAAGGAUGAAACUCAAAGGAAUUGACGGGGGCCCGCACAAGCAGUGGAGUAUGUGGUUUAAUUCGAAGCAACGCGAAGAACCUUACCAGGUCUUGACAUCCGAUGCAUAGUGCAGAGAUGCAUGAAGUCCUUCGGGACAUCGAGACAGGUGGUGCAUGGUUGUCGUCAGCUCGUGUCGUGAGAUGUUGGGUUAAGUCCCGCAACGAGCGCAACCCUUAUUGCCAGUUACUACGCAAGAGGACUCUGGCGAGACUGCCGUUGACAAAACGGAGGAAGGUGGGGAUGACGUCAAAUCAUCAUGCCCUUUAUGACCUGGGCUACACACGUACUACAAUGGCGUUUAACAAAGAGAAGCAAGACCGCGAGGUGGAGCAAAACUCAGAAACAACGUCUCAGUUCAGAUUGCAGGCUGCAACUCGCCUGCAUGAAGUCGGAAUUGCUAGUAAUCGCGGAUCAGCAUGCCGCGGUGAAUACGUUCCCGGGCCUU